GAUGAAGAACGUAGCGAAAUGCGAUAAGUAGUGUGAAUUGCAGAAUUCAGUGAAUCAUCGAAUCUUUGAACGCACAUUGCGCCCUCUGGUAUUCCGGAGGGCAUGCCUGUCCGAGCGUCAUUGCUGCCCUCCAGCACGGCUGGUGUGUUGGGCCCCGUCCCCCUUCCCGGGGGGACGGGCCCGAAAGGCAGCGGCGGCACCGCGUCCGGUCCUCGAGCGUAUGGGGCUUUGUCACCCGCUCUUGUAGGCCCGGCCGGCGUCAGCCGACCCCCUCAAUCUAUUUUUCAGGUUGACCUCGGAUCAGGUAGGGAUACCCGCUGAACUUAAGCAUAUCAAUAAGCGGAGGA
rnacentral:misc_RNA from 1 species